AACGAACGCUGGCGGCAGGCUUAACACAUGCAAGUCGAGCGCCCCGCAAGGGGAGCGGCAGACGGGUGAGUAACGCGUGGGAAUCUACCCAUCUCUACGGAAUAACGCAUGGAAACGUGUGCUAAUACCGUAUACGUCCUUCGGGAGAAAGAUUUAUCGGAGAUGGAUGAGCCCGCGUUGGAUUAGCUAGUUGGUGGGGUAAAGGCCUACCAAGGCGACGAUCCAUAGCUGGUCUGAGAGGAUGAUCAGCCACACUGGGACUGAGACACGGCCCAGACGCCUACGGGAGGCAGCAGUGGGGAAUAUUGGACAAUGGGCGCAAGCCUGAUCCAGCCAUGCCGCGUGAGUGAUGAAGGCCCUAGGGUUGUAAAGCUCUUUCACUGGUGAAGAUAAUGACGGUAACCGGAGAAGAAGCCCCGGCUAACUUCGUGCCAGCCGCCGCCGUAAAAC
rnacentral:rRNA from 1 species